UAAGCAUAUCAAUAAGCGGAGGAAAAAGAAACCAACAGGGAUUGCCCUAGUAACGGCGAAGUGAAGCGGCAACAGCUCAAAUUUGAAAUCUGGCUUCGGCCCGAGUUGUAAUUUGCAGAGGAUGUUUAUGGUGCGGUACCUUCCGAGUUCCCUGGAACGGGACGCCACAGAGGGUGAGAGCCCCGUCUGGUUGGAUACCAAACCUGUGUUAAACUCCUUCAACGAGUCGAGUAGUUUGGGAAUGCUGCUCUAAAUGGGAGGUAAAUCUCUUCUAAAGCUAAAUACUGGCCAGAGACCGAUAGCGCACAAGUAGAGUGAUCGAAAGAUGAAAAGCACCUUGAAAAGGGGGUUAAACAGUACGUGAAAUUGUUGAAAGGGAAGCGUUUAUGACCAGACUUGUGUCGUGUGGCUCAUCCGAGGUUCUCCCCGGUGCACUCCACGCGGCUCAGGCCAACAUCGGUUCUUGUUGGAGGAUAAGAACAGUAGGAACGUAGCUCUCCUUCGGGGGAGUGUUAUAGCCUAUUGUACGAUACUCUGACGGGGACCGAGGACCGCGCUUCGGCUAGGAUGUUGGCGUAAUGGUCAUUAGCGACCCGUCUUGAAACACGGACCAAGGAGUCGUCCAUUAGAGCGAGCGUUUGGGUGUAAAACCCGCACGCGUAAUGAAAGUGAAAUUAGGUGAGAGCUUCGGCGCAUCAUCGACCGAUCCUGAAGUUUACGGAUGGAUUUGAGUAAGAGUUUUAACGGACGGACCCGAAAGACAGUGAACUAUGCUUGAAUAGGGUGAAGCCAGAGGAAACUCUGGUGGAGGCUCGCAGCGGUUCUGACGUGCAAAUCGAUCGUCAAAUUUGAGCAUGGGGGCGAAAGACUAAUCGAACUGUCUAGUAGCUGGUUACCGCCGA
rnacentral:rRNA from 1 species